GAGGGUGACAGGUGGUGCAUGGUUGUCGUCAGCUCGUGUCGUGAGAUGUUGGGUUAAGUCCCGCAACCGAGCGCAACCCUCGACCUUAGUUGCCAGCAUUCAGUUGGCACUCUAAGGUGACUGCCGGCUAAAAGUCGGAGGAAGGUGGGGAUGACGUCAAAUCAUCAUGCCCCUUAUGACCUGGGCUACACACGUGCUACAAUGGGCGGUACAAAGGGUCGCGAACCCGCGAGGGGGGAGCCAAUCCCAAAAAGCCGCUCUCAGUUCGGAUUGCAGGCUGCAACUCGCCUGCAUGAAGCCGGAAUCGCUAGUAAUCGCGGAUCAGCAUGCCGCGGUGAAUACGUUCCCGGGCCUU
rnacentral:rRNA from 1 species